rnacentral:rRNA from 1 species
CGGCGGACGGGUGAGUAAUGCCUAGGAAUCUGCCUGGUAGUGGGGGACAACGUUUCGAAAGGAACGCUAAUACCGCAUACGUCCUACGGGAGAAAGCAGGGGACCUUCGGGCCUUGCGCUAUCAGAUGAGCCUAGGUCGGAUUAGCUAGUUGGUGAGGUAAUGGCUCACCAAGGCGACGAUCCGUAACUGGUCUGAGAGGAUGAUCAGUCACACUGGAACUGAGACACGGUCCAGACUCCUACGGGAGGCAGCACU